rnacentral:rRNA from 1 species
CUGCCUAUUAGUGGGGGACAACAUUCCGAAAGGAAUGCUAAUACCGCAUACGCCCUACGGGGGAAAGCAGGGGAUCUUCGGACCUUGCGCUAAUAGAUGAGCCUAAGUCAGAUUAGCUAGUUGGUGGGGCAAAGGCCUACCAAGGCGACGAUCUGUAGCGGGUCUGAGAGGAUGAUCCGCCACACUGGGACUGAGACACGGCCCAGACUCCUACGGGAGGCAGCAGUGGGGAAUAUUGGACAAUGGGCGAAAGCCUGAUCCAGCCAUGCCGCGUGUGUGAAGAAGGUCUUUUGGUUGUAAAGCACUUUAAGCGAGGAGGAGGCUACCGAGAUUAAUACUCUUGGAUAGUGGACGUUACUCGCAGAAUAAGCACCGGCUAACUCUGUGCCAGCAGCCGCGGUAAUACAGAGGGUGCGAGCGUUAAUCGGAUUUACUGGGCGUAAAGCGUGCGUAGGCGGCUUUUUAAGUCGGAUGUGAAAUCCCUGAGCUUAACUUAGGAAUUGCAUUCGAUACUGGGAAGCUAGAGUAUGGGAGAGGAUGGUAGAAUUCCAGGUGUAGCGGUGAAAUGCGUAGAGAUCUGGAGGAAUACCGAUGGCGAAGGCAGCCAUCUGGCCUAAUACUGACGCUGAGGUACGAAAGCAUGGGGAGCAAACAGGAUUAGAUACCCUGGUAGUCCAUGCCGUAAACGAUGUCUACUAGCCGUUGGGGCCUUUGAGGCUUUAGUGGCGCAGCUAACGCGAUAAGUAGACCGCCUGGGGAGUACGGUCGCAAGACUAAAACUCAAAUGAAUUGACGGGGGCCCGCACAAGCGGUGGAGCAUGUGGUUUAAUUCGAUGCAACGCGAAGAACCUUACCUGGUCUUGACAUAGUAAGAACUUUCCAGAGAUGGAUUGGUGCCUUCGGGAACUUACAUACAGGUGCUGCAUGGCUGUCGUCAGCUCGUGUCGUGAGAUGUUGGGUUAAGUCCCGCAACGAGCGCAACCCUUUUCCUUAUUUGCCAGCGGGUUAAGCCGGGAACUUUAAGGAUACUGCCAGUGACAAACUGGAGAAAGGCGGGGACAACGUCAAGUCAUCAUGGC